rnacentral:tRNA from 1 species
UACAUGUUUUAUGAGAUCAAAAAGAAACAAACAGGUUCUGGAUAUGAGAAAGUUGGC